AACAGUUAGAAAUGGCUGCUAAUACCGCAUAAGACCACGGUACUGCAUGGUACAGUGGUAAAAACUCCGGUGGUAUGAGAUGGACCCGCGUCUGAUUAGGUAGUUGGUGAGGUAACGGCCCACCAAGCCGACGAUCAGUAGCCGACCUGAGAGGGUGACCGGCCACAUUGGGACUGAGACACGGCCCAGACUCCUACGGGAGGCAGCAUG
rnacentral:rRNA from 1 species